GACUCGAUCACCAUCUCCCCUUCUUACACCAACCAUAAAUUUUCAAUCCGGUGCCUCAACCCAGUGGCGAUCUUGUUCAACCAACUCUUCUGUAAAAUCUGAAACACCAUUCAACCCAAAGAACCCCAAAUUCAAUCUUAGUCUUUCACUUGCUAACUGGUGUAUUACUGUAUUUGCUGAUCUUUGAACAUGCAUGAAGGUACAACUCAGAAAUUCACUGCUCAUCUUUUUAAUGUCUUUAAUAUAUGUUGAAAUUUCAAAUCUAUCGACUUCGUUAAGCUUCACUUUUUUAAUCACUGUGAAUGAAUCCCCUUCAACAACCAGUCUCCACAAACCCAAGUCACGGCAUAAUCUCAUAGCCACUGUGCAAGCCAUUGUUUCUGCUGAAAAGGCGAUGGAGUCCUCGAAUGACAGGUAAUUUUUGAAACAAGAACCUCCCCUUUUUCAUCUCUAAUUACAAUACCCGAACAAGAAAUUGCUUCUAUUUGCCAAAAAUAGCAUCAAAAUUAACUUUUAAGUAGCCAACUUUUGGGACCUUCCAGCAAUCUUCACGUCAACCACCCAAAGGUAAGAUUAUUUCCAAAUCAUCCAAUUCCUUAAUGUAAUUCUUGACAAAUCUGAUAGUAGCCAACCCAUCUUGUAGGCACCUUUCAUGCACCCAUUUGUUCCUGUUUAUCUAUAUUGCCCAAAGGACACACAAACAAACGACAUUGAUUUUGCCAAUACUGAGCAAAAAUGUAAGAAAUACAUUCUAUGUGACUCCAAUCAUUCAAAUAUUGUCGCCAAUUGAAUUCUAAAUUAUCUCACACCUUUUUUUUUGCAGUCACGCACUAAAUGAAUGAUAGUUUCUGCAUCUUCAUCACAUUGUGGGCAUUUGGCACUGUUCAUCAGUCUCCUAAAAUGUAAAUUAUAGAAUGUAGGAAUAAAAG
rnacentral:lncRNA from 1 species